rnacentral:tRNA from 1 species
UAACUUAAAACCAAAAAAUAUAAGAGGUUAGUUAUUGUUAAUAAUUAUAUUGAAUUUUAAUUCUAAGUUAG